rnacentral:rRNA from 1 species
CGCAAGCCUGACGGAGCAAGACCGCGUGGGGGAGGAAUGCCUUAGGGUUGUAAACCCCUUUUAUCUGGGAAGAACAAAAUGACGGUACCAGAUGAAUAAGCCUCGGCUAACUCCGUGCCAGCAGCCGCGGUAAUACGGAGGAGGAAAGCGUUAUCCGGAUUUAUUGGGCGUAAAGAGUCCGUAGGUGGUUCAUCAAGUCUGCUGUUAAAGCGUGCAGCUCAACUGCAUAUAGGCAGUAGAUACUGAAGGACUAGAGUGCGGUAGGGGCAGAGGGAAUUCCCGGUGUAGCGGUGAAAUGCGUAGAUUUCGGGAAGAACAUCGGUGGCGAAAGCGCUCUGCUGGGCCGCAACUGACACUCAGGGACGAAAGCUAGGGGAGCG